rnacentral:tRNA from 1 species
GGGUUGGUGGCGUAGCUGGUCAUCGUAUCUGCCUAACACACAGAAGGUCCCCAGUUCGAUCUUGGGCCGACUCG